ensembl:lncRNA
GGAGGACAUCGGCCGUGGUCUGAGUGAACGGAGUUUGGACAAAAGCUGUGUGCACACAAAAACAAGGACAGCUGUUACUGCUUUCAUCGGGAACCGAGACUGCUUGCAGCCGACCCCUGGGCAGGGUGGUGCCUGGACUCUUUUCUCCUCAUCUGCAAUGACAGAUAAAGACAAAUGAUAAGACCCGAGGAGUUUUUCGAGCCAGGCUUCGACACGUCUCUGUGUUCCUUUGAAUGUUACUUAUUUUUGUGUGUUGACCCAUUUAAGAUGGGUCAAAAGGGGGAUUUGAAGAAAAUAUAAUCUGAUCAAACAUUAUUCAGCUUUAAAUAUUGUUCAGCUUUAAAGUUACUGUGCAACUGUGUAAUAAAAAUAUGCGCUCACGACUUUGGCCUUGAGAGCGAUAAGAAGCGAUCGCCUCAUUCUGCAGGUGCAAGAUAUCUGCAAGCGAAGAGACUAGAACACCCAAGGCCGCUUUCCUUUUAUGGAGUUGUUUUUCUGCUAAUGCAGCACUGUCCUCACAACCCCCUCCUGUGUCCGGUUGUCUUCAUUCUCCGCCAGCCUGGUUAAGUCAAUUCCUCCUUAACAUCUAAAAGAACCUAUUUAAUGAAGGAAGACGGGUUCACUUUGUGUUUAAUAUUAUUCUAUUGCUGUUGUUUUUUUUAUAUCCUUCAAUACGUACGAUGGUCUUUCGU